GAUCUGCUGUGUGCUAUUCCGAGCGUGGUCCGGACGCGGGGCGCGGCGGGCGAAGUGUGUAUGAAUAAGGCCUUUUGGUUGUAAAGUUCUUUUUGUAAAGGAGGAAGGUGUUGUGGUUAAUAACCGCAUUAAUUGACGUUACCCUUAAAAUAAGCACCGGCUAACUCCUUGCCAGCUCCCUGGAUAAUAACA
rnacentral:rRNA from 1 species